UGUCGACUUGAAGGUUGUGCCCUUGAGGAGUGGCUUCCGGAGCUAACGCGUUAAGUAGACCGCCUGGGGAGUACGGCCGCAAGGUUAAAACUCAAAUGAAUUGACGGGGGCCCGCACAAGCGGUGGAGCAUGUGGUUUAAUUCGAUGCAACGCGAAGAACCUUACCUACUCUUGACAUCCAGAGAACUUUCCAGAGAUGGAUUGGUGCCUUCGGGAACUCUGAGACAGGUGCUGCAUGGCUGUCGUCAGCUCGUGUUGUGAAAUGUUGGGUUAAGUCCCGCAACGAGCGCAACCCUUAUCCUUUGUUGCCAGCGGUUCGGCCGGGAACUCAAAGGAGACUGCCAGUGAUAAACUGGAGGAAGGUGGGGAUGACGUCAAGUCAUCAUGGCCCUUACGAGUAGGGCUACACACGUGCUACAAUGGCACAUACAAAGAGAAGCGACCUCGCGAGAGCAAGCGGACCUCAUAAAGUGCGUCGUAGUCCGGAUUGGAGUCUGCAACUCGACUCCAUGAAGUCGGAAUCGCUAGUAAUCGUAGAUCAGAAUGCUACGGUGAAUACGUUCCCGGGCCUUGUACACACCGCCCGUCACACCAUGGGAGUGGGUUGCAAAAGAAGUAGGUAGCUUAACCUUCGGGAGGGCGCUUACCCA
rnacentral:rRNA from 1 species